rnacentral:misc_RNA from 1 species
UCUCCGUUGGUGAACCAGCGGAGGGAUCAUUACUGGAAUCGCAAGAUCCCACAACCCUGUGAACCUACCGAAACGUUGCCCCGGCGGGUGCCCGGCCCCCGCGCCGGGCGCUGCGCCCGCCGGCGGCCCCCUACUCUGUCUCUGCAGCGUGGCAUCUCAGAGUCCCAGAAAACAAGUCAAAACUUUCAACAACGGAUCUCUUGGCUCUC